UGUCCAGGGGCGGGAAUCGAACCCACACCCUUCUGCUUACCGGUAAGCAGAAGGGUGUGGGUUCGAUUCCCGCCCCUGGAC
rnacentral:tRNA from 1 species